rnacentral:lncRNA from 1 species
AAAUCCCCCAAACAACACCACGACAAGUUUGCAUUUACCUUGAGUUGUUCGAGCAAAGUCCAUGACUUGUGUUUGUCCGCUUCCUUAGGAUAUCCAUAAAAACAAGUAAUCCUCCAAUGUCUUGCAUCCCCCAAACCGCCAACCUCCAAAUCGAUAUGGUUAGAAGAAUAGGUUCGUAAGGACAUGCUAACUAUUAGAAGAAAGAAUGGCAACUAGGGUUAGGUUAGGUUGCAUGUUCAUCGUACAAAGGAUUUUAGGGUGAUAGAUAGUGUUGUCAAUUCCCUUAAUUCAAGGGAUGUGUCUCUUGUUGUCAAUUCCUUUAAUUUAAGGGAUGUGUCUUAUUUGUCUUGUUGUCAAUUCUCUUAAUUCAAGGGAUGUGUUUUAUUUGUUCUUUUUUUGUUAGCUUUAGACGUAAAUCAAGGAGGGAUAGGUAGUCUUGUUUUCUUCCCUCUAGCACAUAUAUAUUUGCUAUCUCUUGUACCUGAUUGUCUUAUGAUGAAUAUACCAUUCACAAAAUUCAAUAUGGUAUCAGAGCAGUGACCCUAACCGGCUUGUCUCUGUGGUGUUCUCUUGAGAGAUUUGUGAGCUUCUUCUUGUCCUUCAAUUAUGGCUGAAGAAAGCUCAGUAAAUUUGGAAGGAGACGGCUUUCAUGCUACUCCACCAUCACCACACUCAGAUAUUGAUAUCAACCCAAAUCAACGUCUUAGUUCUGUCUUGCUAAAUGAGUUUAACUAUCUUCCAUGGGAGAGAGCAGUUUCUCUUGCUCUGGGAGGACGAUCAAAGCUUGGUUAUGUUAAUGGUGCUAUUCCAAUGCCUGAGACUACCUCACCGAAGUAUGGUGCUUGGCUAUGCAAAGACCAGUUGGUCAUGUCAUGGCUACUCAAUUCCAUGGAUCGUAAGAUUGCAGAAAUUUUUAGCUAUGCUGAAUCCUCCAUGACUCUUUAGAAAAAUCUCAAGGAAAUGUAUGGAAAUCAGAACAAUGCGACUCGUGUGUUUCAGUUAAAGAAGGACAUUGCUGGUUUGCAACAGGAAGGGAAGUCAUUUGUGCAACAUCUUGGAAAGCUGACCACUAUGUGGAACGAGCUGAAUGUGUAUCGACCAUACACCAUCGAUGCUGCUGUGCUAACUAAGAGAGCCGAGGAAGACAAAAUAUUCCAACUCCUAGCAAGCCUAAGCCCUGAAUUCGAAGAUCUUUGAAGCCAUAUCCUCAUGAAUCCUGACCUGCCAUCUUUUUCAAGUGUGUGCGCCACAAUUCAAAGAGAAGAGGUUUGAAGGAAAGUCAUGACCUUGGACAUAAAGGUAAAUAUACCAGAAGCUAGAGCUUACUUCUCUAACCAAAACCUUGGUGAGGAGAGAGGCUACAAAGGAAAGAAAACUGGCUUAAAAUGUAGCCAUUGUGAUGCUGGUGGGCACUCAAGAGACCGAUGCUGGAUUCUUCAUCCAGAGUUAAAACCAAAGUUUCAUAGGGAUAACAAAGGUGUCUCAAAAGGCUCGUACAACCCUUCUUACAAGGCAAAUCAUGUUGCCACAACUUCUUAUGAGGGAGCACUGAAGUUCACCACUAAUCCAGCUGCACUGAUCAACGAGUUUGCUAUGUUUCUUCAAAAGAAACAAGGUCUUGGAGAUAGUGAAGAACCACUAAAUCAGUGUGAUAACAAUCAAACUGCACUACCAGGAUAGUUUGCUGGCUUCCUGGUUGGAAAUGAAGGCGUGGUACAAAGGGACAUCCCAGGUAUCUUACACUCCUUCUCAACAUUGGUAAUGUGCAUGAUUAUUGGAUUAUAGAUUCUGGAGCCACUGAUCAUAUGACUAACAAGUUUACAAACUUGCAUAAAUUUGAAAAAUUUUCUAUUCCAUCUCAAGUGUCAGUUGCCAAUGGAAAAAAUGCUAUGGUUGUGGGAAAAGGAAAAAUACGUUUGAUCUCAAGUGAUGUCGAGUCUGAGGCUCUUUAUGUUCCCUCAUUCCCUUUUCAACUUUAAUCUGUUGGCAAGAUCACAAACUCAUUAAAUUGUCUUGCCAUUUUCUCUCCCAAAAAUGUGAUCUUUCAGGAUGUAGUCACCAAGAGGACGAUUGGUGAAGGAUUUUUCUUAAAUGGUCUCUACUAUCUUUCCAAGCAUAUUCAAGUUCCCAAGGUUUUUCAAGUCACUUCAAGCUUAGCUCAAGAACAACAACUUUGGCACCAACGUCUAGCACAUCCUUAUGAAAAAGUUCUAUCCACCUUGUUCCCAAACAUGUGCAAAGUUACAAGUCCUUGUGAUGUUUGUCAUUUUUCUAAGUUUACUAGAUUACCAUUUACUUCCUCUUUGUCUAGGGCUAGUAAUCAUUUUGAAAUCGUGCAUUCCGAUGUUUAGGGACCAAUUCUAGAGUCUUUUGAUGGAUACAAACAUUUUGUAACUUUUGUGGAUGAUUUCACAAGGAUUACUUGGUUGUAUCUUUUGAAAUUUAAAAGUGAAGUGAUGGAAGUUUUUCAAGAUUUUCAUAGACUUGUGGCCACCCAAUUUGCUUUAAAAAUUCAUAUUUUAUGAUCAGAUAAUGGCACAGAAUAUAUGUCUCAUAACAUGUCACACUACUUGAGCACGCAUGGUAUAUUACACCAAACAAGCUGUGUUGGAACACCUCAACAAAAUGGGGUGGCUAAGAGGAAGAAUAGAGAUCUACUUGAGAAGACUAGAGCUCUUAUGUUUCACAUGAAUGUGCCUAAGAAGUUUUGGUCUCAAGGAGUUCUUACUGCGGCAUAUCUCAUCAAUAGAUUGCCUAGUAAAGUGUUGAAUUUUAAAUCACCUUAUGAGGUCUUGAAAAAUAGAAAGAUCAACUUUUCCCAUUUGAGAGUCUUUGGGUGUACAUGCUUUGUUCACAUUCAAGCUCAAAAUUGUGACAAGCUAGACCCAAGGGCUGCCAAAUGUGUCUUUCUAGGUUAUUCAUCUACCCAAAAAGGUUACAAGUGCUAUAAUUCAACAACUAGAAAAAUGGUUGUUUCAAGGGAUGUUAAAUUUGAAGAACAUGUUUCUUACUUCUCAUAAUCAUUAGAUUACUCUAGACAUAUUGAAGUUGAUUGUCACUACGUCAGAAAUCAAGUUCAGUCCAAGGUGAUCGAUGCUCACUACACGCGCAAUCAUGAUCAACUUGCGGAUAUUUUCACAAAAGGAUUAACCUUUGCUAAUUUUCAGCGUCUUUUGUUCAAGCUUGGAUCAAUUAAUCCCUUUGAUCCAGCUUGAGGGGGAGUAUUGGAAGAAAGAAUGGCAACUAGGGUUAGGUUAGGUUGCAUGUUCACCGUACAAAGGAUUUUAGGGUGAUAGAUAAUGUUGUCAAUUCCCUUAAUUCAAGGGAUGUGUCUUAUUUGUUUUGUUGUCAAUUCCCUUAAUUCAAGGGAUGUGUCUUAUUUGUUAUUUUUUUGUUAGCUUUAGACAUAAAUCAAGGAGGGAUAGGUAGUCUUGUUUUCUUCCCUCUAGCACAUAUAUAUUUGCUAUCUCUUGUACUUGAUUGUCUUAUGAUGAAUAUACCAUUCAUAAAAUUCAAUACUAACCUCAUUUUUCCAUAUCACACAGAGUCCUCUAGACCUUCUACUACUCGGGAUCGUAAAAACAAAAUCGUAUUGCAGCUAUAUUUUCAACCUCUCCAUGUAUUGAACUGAGCUUUUCGUUUUGUAUAGGAAAAACACAGUGGGAACUUUUUUGAGAACAAGUCUCUUCAGGGAAUGAAUUGUCUGGAGGUUCCCAAACCCUUGACAAUUCCAACUAAUGCAACUCAUUGUUGUCCGCGAGGUUGAUACUCGUCAGCCUCCGUCGUUGUUGAAUUUUUUGAAGCAUGAAAACAUGUCUACCUCUUUGGCUUCGAUCUAUCCCAACCUCCUUCAUUAUUGCGAAGCCUUAUCUUCCCCAAUUCCAGUCCCAAACUAUGUCGUUCGAUGGUCAUUUUCCUUUGAUUUCCUCGUGGUUUUCCACCUAGGUGUUUUCUGCUAUUUGUAUAUAUGUUUCCAUAUAUGAAGGGCACACGAUUAAAGGGAUUUGAAUCCAUCGAGAGAGUCCUCACCUCUUGCCUGAUUGAAUUUUUUGGACCGUACCCCCAACCCGUGCGUUUGGGCUCGGCCCAAUAGCAACAGUUUCGUACACCCUUUCCUGCGUUUCAAUUUCAAAAUUCUGGACAACUUGUCCCUCAAAUUGUAGCUGGGCAUUCACCACAGAGCAAGAUGCUCCAAAUAGUUUAAUAACUUAUUUUUUCUCUUUCACACUCGGUAAAAUAGAUUCCUCUUGCUAGCUGUUUUUAACUUGUUGACUAUCCUGUAUAUCUCGAAUCUCCCCAUAAGGAAUGAUUGAUAAAUGAUUAAUUUCAAUACCCUCAAAUGGCGCCUCCUCAUUAAGAUCUAGCAAAUCAAUCCUUGACAGACUAUUGCUAUUCAUCUCCGGAUUCUGCUCGAACUUGCCAUUCUCAGCCAUUGAACCUUCCUUGGAAUCCCUCAAUUACCCGUAGUCAUCCGGUCUCCGCCGUUGGUUGUCCAUGUUGGCCUCCUCCAUAUCCUCAUCCCCAUGUUCAGCCUACGGGGCCCGCAUAGACCACCCCCUUGGGCUUCUAAUCUAAAUCUGUGCCCUAGAGGUUUUCUAUAGUUCGGACUCAAAGUAUCCUCUUGGAACGUCUACUACUUGUCCCCCCAAUUGUAGUGCCGAGUUUUUUCGAAAUGGUUUGGUUGCAUCAAUACGCGUUUGAAUUUGUAGUAUACUUCCAAGUUGUUCAUCUUUCCUACUCUGGUCCGUCAAAACAUAUUCACCCAGAUGAUUGCCAAUGAACUUGCCCAUGUUUCGCAUCAUGUAACAAAGCAGUAGUCCUUUAAUUUACACCCAGAACUCCUGGUACAUCAGUGGGAUCCGAGUAGGAUGAGUGAUGCAACCUCUGCUAACAAUAGGACCGCUUGUUUAUUGUACAACCACUGGCCAUCUCUAUGAAUCAUUGUUAUGUCAUGCUUUAUGUUGAAACCAAACGCAAAUAAGUCUCCCUCAAGUUCCACAAUAAGCACGUUUGCAUUUAUCUCUUAAAAUUCUCUUUAUUGAUUGGCUUUUGGGAGAGUACACGUCCCACCAAAAACACUCUGGAUGAUCACAACGAUAACUCUUCUUGUUUGUCAAUCACAAUAACUUGGCCUUCUUCCUCCAUAAUCGUAAACUGAGAAUAGAAUCGUUAAACCAUGUUGUCCAUCAACGCAAGUCCUGUUGCUAUACCCAGUCCAUAUAGCUCGUAGAAUCUCUCACACCAACUUAAUAGUUGGUAUUGUUUCCACCAGACCAUCAACCUAUAUAUAGUAUCGAUUCUAAAACCCUGAACUUGACGAAGUGAUCGCCUCUACCAAGCCCUGCAGUAAGGCUUUAGACCAAGCCAAACUAACAGCGGCCCUCUCUUAGGCAGAAAAAACCUAGAGAGCCUUGUAUCAUUUAGAUCAAAAUCUAAUUUUCUACAAAUGGUUGAAUAAACCUCACAUACUUAAUACACCCCACAUUUUCUUUUUUCAAUUAAAAAUUAUCUUAAUACACCCCCACAUACUUCCUCAUAAUACCCUCACACCUCACAUUCUUAAUGUACACCUUACAUUUUCUAAAUGCACCCCAUAUUUUCUAUACACCCCCACAUUUCUCAAAUCUUAUAAAGCUUUUAAAUUGCACAAAAAAUGCCGACUAGAAUUUUGACAAAAGAUGCCGCCUGGGAUUUAAAGCAUAUGUGGGUUGUUUUCAAUUCCACCAUUAAAAUCCAUGUCAUCUGUUUUUAAUAUUUGGUGGUAAUUUUAGGUGUUUAAUUCUUUAUGUAAUCCUUGUGAUCCCUAAAAGAUGAAUACGAACAUAGAAGCUUGAAUAACGCAGCAAAAAUAAGAUUAAAUAAUUAUCGAUGUCGUCAAAAUCACUAAAACAAUAAAGAAUAUGAAGUCUUACCUUAUGUGAAGCUUCGGAAACAUCGAUUUCGUGUUUCAUUCAUCAAAAAUAAUUUUUCUCAAUCAACAUGUUUUUAGUUUCAUUGGUUAGGGUUUUGUUCAACAAUGGUGACACGUCCCGAUCCCGAUAUUCCUCAAGUACCAAGAUAGGCACGUGCUGGCUGACACCCGAGGGUGACGAAAGCCAUUAAUUGAUACAAAAGCUAAGAAUAAGAAGUAAAUAAGGGUUAUGAAAUUAAAUACAAUGAGUUAAUAAUUUAGGAAUGUGUUCAGAGCAUUCAACUAACUAGAUCUCUAAAAGAAUUAAUAUAAAAUUGAAUAAAUAAGAGGAUGUAGGUCCUACACCGAGAGGACUCAAAUAUGCCAAUUCGAAAGCGUUGACGUCGAGAUCGUAUGCCUUGAUUCUAAAUCCUGAAAGGGGGCGCAAAACAAGGGUGAGUGGACCAAGUUCAUAUAUAUAUAUAUAUAUACAUAAUACGAAAACAGUUAUGAACAUACUAACCCCUAGGUUUAUAUAUGAUGAAAACUACUAGCAUAAUAAGUUAUAGGUUUUCUGAAACUCUAGCAUGCCAUAAAACAUCUCAACAUGUAUAACGCGGAAAAACGUCAUAUAAAUCAUUGCGUGUAUCGUCUCGUAGAUCGUCCCGUAAACGCGGUGUGCUGCUAGUAAGAUCACUGAAUAAAUAUAACUCCCGGCCCUAUGCCAGCACCGUGGUCUCUGCGCUCGUAGCCAGAGAUUACCAACUUCCGGCCCAAUGCCUGCUCCGUGUCCCUCAGCCCGUAGCUAGGGAUUAUUUCUCCUGGCCUAUCUGCCAACAGCAGAUCCUCGCCCCAAGCGGCAUAAUGUCUACUAGGUACGCACAAAUAGUUACGCCUCUCAUAAAUAACCACUUCAUAGUAUAAAGUCAUUCAUCGUCUAUACUAUAAAGAGGGGUUUCGAAAACAUGUUCUAGCAUCCCAUCGUCAUCCGUCAGAUAGUCUACCAGUUCAUGGUUUUUAUAGAAAAUACUAUGUAUUAAAAUAUAGCUCAAUAUAGGCCAACAAUUAAUUCCUCACCAAAAAUACGAGACGAAAAUCAACAUAUUCAAUAAACAUGCUUAACAUAAAAUCAAAUAAUAAACUCAUAAGGCAUGCUAUUCAGUUAUGCAAAACUAUAAAAUCAUGUAAUUUUAGAAGGGAUCCACUCACCGUACACCGAUGGUGCAAAGCUGUACCAAAAAGGAAUAACGAAAUCACGGCCAAUAAUUGCACCUAAUCACAUAAAAGAGUACAUUUAGUCAAACUCUAUUCAAACGAUUAACUUUGGGAAAAUGGACUUCAAAAAUGGGUUCAGGACGUUGAAAUUAGCCUAGGAGGGGUCCCAGAUGAAAACCCGAAAAGUCAACGGUCAAAGUCGACGUUGACCUUUGACCAAGUCAACGGUUAACCGGGUUAGGUCAACGAGUC